rnacentral:rRNA from 1 species
CCUACGGGAGGCAGCAGUGAGGAAUAUUGGUCAAUGGACGAGAGUCUGAACCAGCCAAGUAGCGUGAAGGAUGACUGCCCUAUGGGUUGUAAACUUCUUUUAUAUGGGAAUAAAACGUUCCACGUGUGGGAUUUUGUAUGUACCAUAUGAAUAAGGAUCGGCUAACUCCGUGCCAGCAGCCGCGGUAAUACGGAGGAUCCGAGCGUUAUCCGGAUUUAUUGGGUUUAAAGGGAGCGUAGGUGGAUUGUUAAGUCAGUUGUGAAAGUUUGCGGCUCAACCGUAAAAUUGCAGUUGAAACUGGUAGUCUUGAGUACAGUAGAGGUGGGCGGAAUUCGUGGUGUAGCGGUGAAAUGCUUAGAUAUCACGAAGAACUCCGAUUGCGAAGGCAGCUUACCAAACUAUAACUGACGUUGAGGCACGAAAGUGUGGGUAGCAAACAGGAUUAGAUACCCGAGUAGUC